GCCGAAUUGUAGCUUAUGGAGGCAGGGUAAAAGUUCUUUUGAAUAAGACAUCAAAGAGGGUGAAAAUCCCGUAUUUUUUUCUUUGAGUCGGGUUGUUUGGGAAUGCAGCCCUAAUUUGGAGGUAAAUUUCUUCUAAAGCUAAAUACUGGCAAGAGACCGAUAGCAAACAAGUACCGUGAGGGAAAGAUGAAAAGCACUUUGAAAAGAGAGUGAAAAGUACGUGAAAUUGUUGAAAGGGAACCAGUUGGUAGCCAAGCUUCCGAGGUCAACAUCGGUUGCCUGAGAAGGUAGAAUGUUUGUUAUAGAGGCGGUGGCGACCGAGGACGCAGUGUUUUUUAGGAAGGUAUGGUUUUUUUGGUUUUUAUAGACAGCACCCAGAAACACUUGGGAUGUUGGCGAAAAGGCACCAAUUGACCCGUCUUGAAACACGGACCAAGGAGUCCAACAUAUAUGCGAGUAUAUGGGUAAACCCACAUGCGUAAUGAAAGUAAAUUGAGUGUGACCGAGCAACACCAACCGGCUUUAGAUAGCGCUGCUUGACAAAGCUGAGUAAGAGCAUAUAUGCUGGGACCCGAAAGAUGGUGAACUAUGCCUGAAUAGGGUGAAGUCAGAGGAAACUCUGAUGGAAGCUCGUAGAGAUUCUGACGUGCAAAUCGAUCUCCAAAUUUGGGUAUA
rnacentral:rRNA from 1 species